rnacentral:rRNA from 1 species
AGUGAACGCUGGCGGUAGGCCUAACACAUGCAAGUCGAACGGCAGCACAGUAAGAGCUUGCUCUUACGGGUGGCGAGUGGCGGACGGGUGAGGAAUACAUCGGAAUCUACUUUUUCGUGGGGGAUAACGUAGGGAAACUUACGCUAAUACCGCAUACGACCUACGGGUGAAAGCAGGGGAUCUUCGGACCUUGCGCGAUUGAAUGAGCCGAUGUCGGAUUAGCUAGUUGGCGGGGUAAAGGCCCACCAAGGCGACGAUCCGUAGCUGGUCUGAGAGGAUGAGCAGCCACAAGGGAGCUGAGGCGCGGGCCAGACGCCAGCGGGAGGCAGAAGGGGGGAAUAUGGGAAAAGGGGCGGAAGCCUGUGCCAGCCAUACCGCGUGGGUGAAGAAGGCCUUCGGGUGGUAAAGCCCUUUUGUUGGGAAAGAAAAGCAGCAGGUUAAGACCCCGCUGUUCUGACGGUACCCAAAGAAGAAGCACCGGCUAACUUCGU